rnacentral:rRNA from 1 species
AACCGGAUUAGAUACCCUGGUAGUCCACGCCCUAAACGAUGUCUACUAGUUGUCGGGUUUUAAUUAACUUGGUAACGCAGCUAACGCGUGAAGUAGACCGCCUGGGGAGUACGGUCGCAAGAUUAAAACUCAAAGGAAUUGACGGGGACCCGCACAAGCGGUGGAUGAUGUGGAUUAAUUCGAUGCAACGCGAAAAACCUUACCUACCCUUGACAUGUACGGAAGCUUCGAGAGAUCGAGGUGUGCUCGAAAGAGAACCGUAACACAGGUGCUGCAUGGCUGUCGUCAGCUCGUGUCGUGAGAUGUUGGGUUAAGUCCCGCAACGAGCGCAACCCUUGUCAUUAGUUGCUACAUUUAGUUGAGCACUCUAAUGAGACUGCCGGUGACAAACCGGAGGAAGGUGGGGAUGACGUCAAGUCCUCAUGGCCCUUAUGGGUAGGGCUUCACACGUCAUACAAUGGUACAUACAGAGGGCCGCCAACCCGCGAGGGGGAGCUAAUCCCAGAAAGUGUAUCGUAGUCCGGAUCGCAGUCUGCAACUCGACUGCGUGAAGUGGA